GUGAGGAAUAUUGGACAAUGGGCGCAAGCCUGAUCCAGCCAUGCCGCGUGCAGGAAGACGCAUCUAUGGUGUGUAAACUGCUUUUGUACGGGAAGAAACACUCCCUCGUGAGGGAGCUUGACGGUACCGUAAGAAUAAGGAUCGGCUAACUUCGUGCCAGCAGCCGCGGUAAUACGGAGGAUCCAAGCGUUAUCCGGAAUCAUUGGGUUUAAAGGGUCCGUAGGCGGUUUAAUAAGUCAGUGGUGAACGCCCAUCGCUCAACGAUGGAACGGCCAUUGAUACUGUUAGACUUGAAUUACAAGGAAGUAACUAGAAUAUGUAGUGUAGCGGUGAAAUGCUUAGAUAUUACAUGGAAUACCAAUUGCGAAGGCAGGUUACUACUUGUGGAUUGACGCUGAUGGACGAAAGCGUGGGGAGCGAACAGGAUUAGAAACCCUUGUAGUCC
rnacentral:rRNA from 1 species